rnacentral:rRNA from 1 species
UACGUAGGGUGCAAGCGUUUGUCCGGAAUUAUUGGGCGUAAAGAGCUCGUAGGCGGCUUGUCGCGUCGGCUGUGAAAACCUGGGGCUCAACCCCGGGCCUGCAGCCGAUACGGGCAAGCUAGAAUUCGGUAGGGGAGAGUGGAAUUCCUGGUGUAGCGGUGAAAUGCGCAGAUAUCAGGAAGAACACCCGUGGCGAAGGCGGCUCUCUGGGACGGUACUGACGCUGAGGCGCGAAAGCGUGGGGAGCAAACAGG